GCCUCGCUAGCUCAGUUGGUAGAGCGACGCACUCGUAAUGCGUAGGUCGCCGGUUCAAGUCCGGUGUGAGGCUC
rnacentral:tRNA from 1 species